CAUCUCUGUAAUGAGAAGGGGUGUGGUCUAAUGACAUCAACACCCUAUAUCAGGUGUGCAUAAUUAUUAGGCAACUUCCUUUCCUUUGGCAAAAUGGGUCAAAAGAAGGACUUGACAGGCUCAGAAAAUCUUAAAAUUGCAAAGCUUCUGAAGCGUGAUCAUCGAACAAUCAAGCGUUUCAUUCAAAAUAGUCAACAGGGUCGCAAGAAGCGUGUGGAAAAACCAAGGCGCAAAAUAACUGCCCAUGAACUGAGAAAAGUCAAGCGUGCAGCUGCCAAGAUGCCACUUGCCACCAGUUUGGCCAUAUUUCAGAGCUGCAACAUCACUGGAGUGCCCAAAAGCACAAGGUGUGCAAUACUCAGAGACAUGGCCAAGGUAAGAAAGGCUGAAAGACGACCACCACUGAACAAAACACACAAGCUGAAACGUCAAGACUGGGCCAAGAAAUAUCUCAAGACUGAUUUUUCUAAGGUUUUAUGGACUGAUGAAAUGAGAGUGAG
ensembl:lncRNA